AUUGAACGCUGGCGGCAGGCCUAACACAUGCAAGUCGAACGAGUGGCAGACGGGUGAGUAAUGUCUGGGAAACUGCCUGAUGGAGGGGGAUAACUACUGGAAACGGUAGCUAAUACCGCAUACCCUCGGAUGUGCCCAGAUGGGAUUAGCUAGUGGGUGAGGUAACGGCUCACCUGGGCGACGAUCCCUAGCUGGUCUGAGAGGAUUACCAGGCACACUGGGACGGAGACUCGGCCCAGUCUCCUACGGGAGGCAGCAGUGGGUAAUAUUGGACAAUGGGGGAAAGCCUGAUGCGGCCAUGCCGCGUGUAUGAUGAAGGCCUGCGGGUUGUAAAGUACUUUUGGCAGGGAAGCGUUAUCUGCAGAAUAAGCACCGGCUAACUACGUGCCAGCAGCCGCGGUAAUUC
rnacentral:rRNA from 1 species